CAGCUCGACCACGGCUGCCACUCGAAGGCUGCAGUGCCCUCUACUUGACUGCCCUGAGUGCCAUGUCCCUCUGAUCCGAAUCGUGAGCAAGCAAGCUCACUCCAAGAAUGUCCCGUUUGUGAAGUGCCCAAACAACGUAAAGGGUGAUCCAACAACUUGUGGUUGGAUCCGUUCCGAGGAGCAGUAUGCAGCCUGGUAUGUGAAUCAACAAAAGCAGAGACAUAUGCAGGUCCAAUCGCCCUUCCAUUCAGCAUCUGGGGAUGUUCUUGGUGAUUUGAAGCAACAAGUGUAUGAGAUGAAGCAAACGCUGGACAGUGUGGUUGAGGAUCUUCGAUCAGUGAAGUCCCAAAUUGGAGACAAGCAAGACUUGGGUAAUAAGAAGAAAAUGCAGAUUGUGCUGGAUGUAUAUAUUGCAGUAGGUGUUCUUGUUGGUGUGGUAAUAGGCAUAGUUGUUGCCCGCAUGAUGAAGUGAACUGAAUGUAAUGUAGUAUCUUUGUAAUGGAUUAUGGGUUUCCCACCCAUUAAUGAAUCAUUGCCUUUGUUCUCUGAUCAA